rnacentral:rRNA from 1 species
GGGGAAUAUUGGACAAUGGACGAAAGUCUGAUCCAGCAACGCCGCGUGAAGGAUGAAGGCCUUAGGGUUGUAAACUUCUUUUGUCAGGGAAGAUAAUGACGGUACCUGAAGAAUAAGCAUCGGCUAACUUCGUGCCAGCAGCCGCGGUAAUACGAAGGAUGCUAGCGUUACUCGGAAUUAUUGGGCGUAAAGAAUGCGUAGGCGGGCUUGUAAGUCUAUAGUGAAAUCCCAGGGCUCAACCUUGGAACUGCUAUAGAAACUGUAAGCCUUGAACAUAUCAGGGAGCAGGAGAAUUCUUGGUGUAGGGGUAAAAUCCGUAGAUAUCAAGAGGAAGAACGGAAGCGAAAGCGCUUGCUUGGGAUAUUGUUGACGCUGAGGCAUGAAAGCGUGGGGAGCAAACAGGA